GUGCCAGCAGCCGCGGUAAUACCGGCAGCUCAAGUGGUCGUCGCUUUUAUUGGGCGUAAAACGUCCGUAGCCUGUAUGGUAAAUCUGUGGGUAAAUCAACCAGCUUAACUGGUUGAAUUCUGCAGAGACUGCCAGACUAGGGACCGGGAGAGGUGUGGGGUACUAUAGGGGUAGGGGUAAAAUCCUGUCAUCCUUAGAGGACCACCAGUUGCGAAGGCGCCACACUGGAACGGAUCCGACGGUCAGGGACGAAGCCUAGGGGCACGACCCGGAUUAGAUACCCGGGUAGUCCUAGGUGUAAACGCUGUGAACUUGGUGUCGGGGAUCCUCAAUUGGUCCUUGGUGACGUAGUGAAGAUGUCAAGUUCACUCCCUGGUAAGCACGGUGGCAAGGCUGAAACUUAAAGGAAUUGGCGGGGGAGCACAGCAACGAGAGGAGCGUGCGGUUUAAUUGGAUUCAACGCUGGAAAACUCACCAGUGCCGACGGACAUAUGAAGAUCAGCGUGAUGAGCUUAUUGGAUUGUUCGAGAGGUAGUGCAUGGCCGUCGUCAGUUCGUACCGUAAGGAGUUAUGUUAAGUCAGAUAACGAAAGAGACCCCUAUCGUCUAUUUGCUAAACGGAUCUCUGGAUUCGUCGCACUAUAGCGAGACCGCUGGCGUGAAGUCAGAGGAAGGUGGGGGCAACCACAGGUCAGUAUGCUCCGAAUGCACUGGGCUACACGCGCGCUACAAAGGCCAGGACAAUGGGUCUGCCACUUCGAAAGAAGGCGCUAUCCCGAAACCUGGUCGUAGUUCGGAUCGUGGGCUGUAAUUCGCCCUCGUGAAGCUGGAUUUCGUAGUAAUCGCGUCUCAAAAUGGCGCGGUGAAUAUGCCCUUGCUCCUUGCACACACCGCCCGUC
rnacentral:rRNA from 1 species